AUGCCUUCAAUUAAAUUGCAGAGUUCUGAUGGAGCGGUAUUUGAAGUUGAUGUGGAAAUUGCCAAACAAUCUGUGACUAUCAGGACCAUGUUGGAAGAUUUGGGAAUGGAUGAUGAAGGAGCUGAUGACCAAGUUCCUCUACCAAAUGUUAAUGUGGCAAUAUUAAAAAAGGUCAUUCAAUGGUGCACCCAACACACGGAGGAGCCUCCUCCUCCUGAGGAUAAUGAAAGAAAAGCGAACAGAUGAUAUUCCUGUUUGGGACCAAGAAUUCCUGAAAGUUGACCAAGGAACGCUUUUUGAACUUAUUCUGGCUGCAAAUUACUUAAACAUCAAAGGUUUGCUUGAUGUUACAUGCAAGACUGUUGCCAAUAUGAUCAAGGGGAAAACUCCUGAGGAGAUUCGCAAGAUCUUCAAUAUCAAAAAUGACUUUACUGAAGAGGAGGAAGCCCAGGUAUGCAAAGAGAAUCAGUAGUGCAAAGAGAAGUGA